GGUUGGUGGAUCGGAGAAGGAGCGAAGAUGGCGGAGUGAGGCGUUUCCCGGGCAGCUGGCCUCCGGGCCCGGGGCGGGCCUCCCGCUUGAGGUGGAGUGCUUGUGCUGGACCGGGUGAGGAGUUUCUAUGUUGUCUUCUCAGUGGGCAUCCUGGUUCUUUCAUCCAGCCACUUCCCUAGUGGAGUGGGGAUGUUUUCUACAGAUACCUCCGUGGUUUGGAAUGGAGACUGCACCGAGAAGCCCAAGGGUGCAGCUGUCCUGCUGACUUCAGGAGGACACCAACCGGCCUGGCUAUUCUGCUGCACUUGGCUUCAGUAGAAAGACACCGUUUGCAAGAGGAAGGAAGAUGGUUAAUUUGAACAGGUGCUUAGGUUAUGCAUCGUGGACUCUUCCUUUUAAAGCUCCAAACAACAAAUCAAAUACCAAAUGUGGGUGACUUCAGGUUUUGUUUUGUUUUGUUUUAAGUCUGCCAGUUUUUUAACACUAUUAUAAGCACAGUAAAGACUAAUAGUAAAUUCCAAAUAUCAUUAUUAUUUGAGGUGAAAGAAACAUCUAAAUCCUGAUUUAUCCUUUGACAGAUUUCCUGGACGAAAACAAGUCCCCAGUAUGAUAAAAGCAAAAAGCAAGAAUGAUAUCAGGGUUGGUUUCAUAUGGGAGUGAAACCAUUGCAGUUUGUGUGCAGAUUCACAUUUUUAUAUGUAUAAAACCACAUUUUUUAAAUAAGAUUUUUCUCCUGGAAAAGAAAGCUGUCAUUUAUGAAAAGGCUUUGGACAGUUUGAUGGUCUUUAGUGUUUGGAUUUUGUCUGUUUUGCUUUUUCAUCCUUCUCAUGAAGGACCAGCUGGGCCUGCGGCUAGUUCCGAGUGGGAAGAGAAUAAGCUGGGGUGAUGCUUGCCUCAGGCUGUCUGUGCUUGUGUGGCUGAGGCAGCAAGAUCAGAAGUCCAGGUCCAGCUUGGGCCACAUGGAGAGACUCCAUCUCAAGAACAGCAGAAAAGAAAAAUAAAACACCACUCUUUUGUUUCUCGAGGUUGUAUUCUUGUGGGAUCACAUGUAUCAAUGAGACUUUGGUUUUCCAUGUGACUGUGACUGGAAAGAAAAUGGCGUGUGUGUUAUGUGAUGGACCUGAUAGUGUCACUUGCCUUCAACUUUGGGUAUUCAGGAGUGAAGGAAAAAUAACUCGGCUUAUAAAUCCUUUCUUCUAAGAAAAAGAAGCAACAAUGUCUUAUGUAGCAUCAUCUGACAUUUCAGCAUUUUUAAAUUAUGUACUUGCAUUUUUAUAAAAGCAUAAAUAACUUUUCCUUCAUCCCAAGAUGGGUACUUAGACAUUUAUUUUUCUAGGCGAUAACUUUAGGCUGAAAUUCUGGGACUCAGGUAAAUUUUCCCAGUUUGAAUUGAACUUUCUUACCAGAAAAUGGACCUCAGAAGCAAUGUUCCCAGUCCUAUGGUCAGUUCACUAUAUUCUUAGAAGAAAUUCAGGAUCUGAACAAAACUUCAAGUAAAAGCACGUCCAAUAAAAAGUAUGGAUCUUGUUGCCAGUCACUGUAGAUUUAAAGGAAAUUCAGGUUCGGGGAUGGAGAGACCUCAAGAAAACUAGUUCCCAUAAGAAAUGAUACAUGUUUGUUUUUUCCUUUAAGUAACAGUUAUGAGGAACCAUCAUGAAAACCUCUCUUUGCUUCCAAAUCAAAGAAGUCCAUUUUAUGGGAUGUCAGGCUUUUACAAGGGAGGGAACUGUUGUUUGCAGUGGUUGCCAGUAGAGAAGGAAUUUUAAGCUUGCAAGAUAACUUAGAAACAGGUGCUGUUAGAGCUGAUUUCUGGAACCAUUUCCCAGUGUUGUGAAUUUGAGUCAUAUAAAUGAUCAAAAGUAGGAAAUGUUGAACAAUCUAAUGGCUAGUCAAAUUGGACAACAAAUUUGAAUUUAUACUAAAAGCUUUUUUCAUAAAACACUUAUUAUAAAUAACUUUUUUUCUUUUAGUUUUCUGAAUCAGGGUUUCUGUGUAGCUUUGGAGCCUGUCCUGGAACUAGCUCUGUAGACCAGGCUAGUCUCGAACUCACAGAGAUCCACCUGCCUCUGCCUCCCAAGUGCUGAGAUUAAAGGCCUGCGUCACAACCACCCAGUUUAUAAAUAACUUUUUAGUGAGAUCAAACAAUGAUAAAGCUCUAGAGAAAAGAGUUAAAGGUAACCUAGAUUGCUGGACUUGGUAUCCCGCACCUUUGAGCCACAGUAUUUUGGGUGCUGAGGCAGGAGGAUUGGCCACAAGAUCAAGGCCAGCCUCAAUGACAGACCCGGUCUAAAAAUGAAGCAAAAAUAUAACCUAAAUUUUUCUCUUUAAGUACUCCAGCCACUUAUGUUUUCAUUUAGAAGAAAUGGAAGCCAGCUGGUGACUGAGAGCAUCUCAUAGAUGCCUGAUUCCUCCUACACCUUGCUUUUGGGCAACUUUGUGGGGUAAGGCCCACAGGCAGGGCUUUCACCACAAAGGCGAUGUCACCUUUGCUCCAGAUACUUCAGGUUUGUAGCCUAAACCUCCAAAUAUUGAGUGCACUUUGUCAAAGAUGCUCUUGUGUCCUGCAUUGUUAGCACCAGAUGGCAUUUUAAGCCUGGGGACUUUGCAGCUGUAGUUGCCUGGUGUGUGGUACAUUUCCAUUUUAUAGUCUUGCUUGGGUUUUCUUAAUAGCAGCAAAAACUACCAUUUUAGAGCUGUGCUUCCAUCUGUAGCCGUGCCUCCUCCCUUCUCCAUGUGAGCUGGCAGUUUUUCUUUUGGAGUUACAAAACAAAAACGGGAUAUGUGCAAUAUAAAUAUAUAUAUAUGUGUAUAUUUUAAUACUUGUGGACGAGUGUUACAAGUCGUUAAAGAACAACAAAAUCACCAAUGUCUUCCAUUUUGAGAUGUGUAUAGUUUUGUAAGCAGUAGUGUUUGGUAGCAUAUUGUAGUGCCAUGUUAGGGGUUAGUGCAUGAAUUUAGUAUCAUUUUUAAACUUCAGGAUGAAAUAUUGAUAAUAGCUAAUAGUGUAAAAAGAGUGGAAAAUCCUAGACCUUUGCUUUUCUCAUGUAUGAAAAUAAUGUAUUCUCCCUGGGGAUAGGAGAUAAAGGCCAAAACAACUAAUGUCUGAACAGAAAUGUGGGUUCACAUUGAAAAACAUUGUGCGCGGGGGAAAUGUUAGCCUUUCACGAGGUAUCUAGAAAUAACUGCCUUUGUAGCUUUUCAGUCCUCAAAGCAUGGCCUCAUCCCAUGAUUGUCUUGCUCUCUCAGUUUGAAGCUAGCUUGUUCUUAUUUUAUCGUCGUAUUGUAUGUCUUGGAUUCAUUUUCCCUAUUUUGUGUCCAGAGAAUUAUUUUCUACUUCGCAUGUCCAAGAUGCUGUGCUAAUUGCUUUGGAAUGAUUUAUUUGUGGCCAUUUCCUUUCCUGUUUGCAGCAUGUGUGCUAAUUGCAGAACCUUGUCAGCAGUUUGGAGUAUCCUGAACUCUAGGCUUUUUUUCUACUUUCCUUAUGGAAAUAAAGUAGUUGCUUUGUUUUGAAAAAGAAAGU